CCCCGAACAAGGCAGUUUAACCCACUGUUCCCCCGAACAAGGCAGUUUAACCCACUGUUCCACCGAACAAGGCAGUUUAACCCACUGUUCCACCGAACAAGGCAGUUUAACCCACUGUUCCCCCGAACAAGGCAGUUUAACCCACUGUUCCCCGAACAAGGCAGUUUAACCCACUGUUCCCCUGAACAAGGCAGUUUAACCCACUGUUCCCCCAAACAAGGCAGUUUAACCCACUGUUCCCCUGAACAAGGCAGUUUAACCCACUGUUCCCCCUGAACAAGGCAGUUUAACCCACUGUUCCCCCUGAACAAGGCAGUUUAACCCACUGUUCCCCCUGAACAAGGCAGUUUAACCCACUGUUUCCCUGAACAAGGCAGUUUAACCCACUGUUCCCCCAAACAAGGCAGUUUAACCCACUGUUUCCCUGAACAAGGCAGUUUAACCCACUGUUCCCCCGAACAAGGCAGUUUAACCCACUGUUUCCCUGUACGCCGUCAUGGUAAAUAAGUAUUUGUUCUUAACAGACUUAUCCUAGUUAAAUAAAUAAAAAUACAUCCAACACAAAUAUUGAGACCAGGACUAUUGUGGAGUAGCACAAAUCAAGGCUGAGACCAUUCUAUGGAGGGUCUAGUACAGUGAUCAACUAGAUUCAGCUGCGGGCCAAUUAUUUUCUUUAGCAGAUGGCCGGAAAUAUAAAUCAUAAAUAAUUAUAAAUCAUUUGUAGACUGCACAUUGACCACAAGAAACCCAAACAGAUAUAAUAUUUGACCAAAACAAUCAUUUCAAACUUUGGUUUACAAGACCACAUAUCUGUAUAUUAUGCAUGGGGGGGGGGGAAUCCUGAUCUUACUGUUCACUUGUACCUGGUUGUCUAGGUCAGUGAUUAGUUAGGAACUCCCCUCACCUGGUUGUCUAGGUCAGUGAUUAGUUAGGAACUCCCCUCACCUGGUUGUCUAGGUCAGUGAUUAGUUAGGAACUCCCCUCACCUGGUUGUCUAGGUCAGUGAUUAGUUAGUUAGGAACUCCCCUCACCUGGUUGUCUAGGUCAGUGACCACUAAGGAACAAAUUGAACGGAAAUAACAAAACCAC
ensembl:lncRNA